GAAUCCUAUUGUUCUAGGACCAAUCAGACUGCUGCAUUUUGGAUCCUAUUCAACUCAGUACAUAACAAAUGUGUUGUUAGACAAGAGGAAAUGUUCUACAAGGCAGCAAGUGUGAAAUUGGAUCAGGCUUGCUUUUCUCUACAUAGCUGCUGAGUCCCCUGCUCUCCUACACAGACAAGCCUCAAAGGUCUAUGUCUUGGAAACUGGAUUCAAUCAUUUCAUCAGGUGUUUCUGAGAACUUAAGGAUAAGGCGGCAGUGAUGAGCAACAAAAUGUGCAAGAGAUGAAGGGAUGCCAUCCAAGUAAAUAAAAGAAAGGAAAAAGGUGGACAGUCAAAGGGAAAAUAGAGCAUAUAAGUAUCUUCGAAACCAACUUGGACCCCAGGUGCUGCCUAGAUGUUAGGAGGAACGCUGCAUGUUUCAUCACUGGCACUUAAAGAACAGCAUUGAGGUCCAAAAUGUAUGUCCUUAAGGAGAUCUUCUAGCAAUUAAUCCUCUUUCCUCUGACAAGUGUUUAUGUGAGAUUGCUCUGUUUCCUUUUAUAUUUUAUCUAUCUAUCUAUCUAUCUAUCUAUCUAUCUAUCAUCU